rnacentral:lncRNA from 1 species
UCCCCACAAGUGGCACGUUCCGGAAUUCCCCGCAACUCAUAAUAACAUCCCGUACGUCCAUCCGGUAAGACUGCCAUCUGAUGUCAUAUGAAGUGAGAGACAUCACCCUCUGAGUCCACCUAUAAGUGCUCUGAGCAUCAACAAACGGUCCGCUGACUGGCAGGAGAGACAUGAACCAUUUGAGCAAAAGCGGGAGACAGCAUCUGAUAGCCCCACCCUUACCAUGCCUACUGUGGAUAGCAUAGUAAGUGUCGGCUAACAGAGUAG